rnacentral:rRNA from 1 species
GUUAGGGAGUAAGUGUACAGGUUCGUAGUGACUGCGAGGAUAUU